rnacentral:rRNA from 1 species
GACGGGGGGGGCAAGUGUUCUUCGGCAUGACUGGGCGUACAGGGCACGUAGGCGGUGAAUCGGGUUGAAAGUGAAAGUCGCCAAAAAGUGGCGGAAUGCUCUCGAAACCAAUUCACUUGAGUGAGACAGAGGAGAGUGGAAUUUCGUGUGUAGGGGUGAAAUCCGUAAAUAUACGAAGGAACGCCAAAAGCGAAGGCAGCUCUCUGGGUCCCUACCGACGCUGGGGUGCGAAAGCAUGGGGAGCGAACAGG